rnacentral:lncRNA from 1 species
GAGGGAUGUUACAUGAGAUUCCAUAAUAAUAAAUUAGAUGCAAUUUGAGCCUUCAGAGAGCAGUAUUGGCUAAGGUACUGCAAGCAUACCCAUACUCAAAAUGUGUAUCAUACCCGGAAAGACAAAGUGUGCCUUCUUAGAGUGAAAUUGAGAAAAUCAAAUGAAGAAUUCGCCUGCCUCUAAUUGGGCCGAUCUUUAAUAAGGGGAAGCGGGGCAACAUUGAUACCUUUGAAGCAGUCAGCAGCACCCGAAGAUAAACAGCAAUUGACUCUUUGAUAGGCUGUUGGUAUGAUGCUGAAAGUUCUGAAUUGCAGGAUGAGAAAGUGCAAGACUCAUUGAUUUAAACCCACAACUAGCAUUUGCUAAAUUCUGUAAAAUACAACAGGCAGUCAUCUCUGCCUUGAGAGUUGACAGAAGUCUAAAUCAGAUAUACAAGUGAGACCCAGGAGUCUAAUGAGAUCAAGUGACAAAUGCAGAAUGAGAAACUGAAAUGAAGCUUAGAGUCCAUUACUGACUUCAAAAACAAAAAGUAACCCAGAGAAGACUUCCCUGAAGACCCAGGAAAGCAUCUGAAGUAUUCAACAAGAGCUUAGUUUCCAAAUAGCAUCUUCUUUGCUACAGAAACAAUAAAUGCAUUCACAUCACCUCUGCAGACAGGAUCUGACUUCCAAAAGGAUUCAGUCCCACUGCUUUGGGGUGGCUGCCCCAGGCAAAUUUUGAAUGCCACCAAGAUCUCCCAUAAUUCUCACCAUCAUGUGAUCAAGGCCACACUAAUGUGCUGGAGGAUGAGAGACCACAAGAAAGAGAUCCAAGCUGUCUCAUCUGUCCCAGCCAAGGCCUUCCUAGACUUGCUGGUCCCCAGUCAAACUGCCUGCUGAUGACGGAUAAAUGAAAUGAGUAAGCUCAGCUGAGAUCAGUCAAGUCUGGCUCAGACAAGAAAAAAUGCCCAUUUGGUUCACAGACUGAUGAAUUAAAUAAAUAUGUAUUGUUGUAUGCUACUGAGGUUUUAUGAUUUUUUUGCUAUGCAGCAUUAUGAUGGCAAUAGAUAACCGCUACACCUCCUGACUAAAUUUAUUCACACAGAGUAGAUCUUAAUAUAUGACAGAUCAAGUAGUAAGUAAAUAAUUGAAUAAAUGAAUGAAUAAGUGAAA